ACUUGUUCAAUGAUAGGGAGAGUAAUGAUUGAUUUUUUCGUUGAUAGCGAGCCGAUGUUGGUGGAAGAUCGGUACGGAAGCAAUCGUGAAACGCACCCUUGAGAAAGUUUAUUGAAAGUGAAAGUAGGUAAACUCGGUUAAAUCCGUUAUUAUUGCAAGCUGGCUUAUUUGGAUAAGCAAGUAGAGUGGCACCGCGAGCAAAACCCUCGUCUCUAUA
rnacentral:ncRNA from 1 species